rnacentral:lncRNA from 1 species
UAUUUUUUUCUCCAGCAUACGAUCAGUUUUGUCCACUUACAAGGAUCUAUGUAGGGAUACUAGAUAUAAAUUUUCUAAUGAGAAAAACGUUUUCUUGUGUAUCUGCAAAAUAACCCAUAUCAUUCAGAAAGAGUCCAAUUGGAAAGCACCAACAUUCCAGGGUUUCUAUGUAAGUGGAUCUCUUUUUGUUAUGCUCUGUAAAGUUGGGCUA